rnacentral:rRNA from 1 species
UGAUCCUGGCUCAGAAUGAACGCUGGCGGCGUGCCUAACACAUGCAAGUCGUACGCGAAAGAAGGGCAACCUUCGAGUAAAGUGGCGCACGGGUGAGUAACACGUGGAUAACCUGCCCUAAAGUCUGGGAUAACGUGCCGAAAGGUGCGCUAAUACCGGAUACCUUUAUGCCUCACAAGAGGUAUAAAGAAAGGAGGCCUCUGCUUGCAAGCUUCUGCUUUGGGAUGGGUCCGCGGCCUAUCAGGUAGUUGGUAGGGUAAUGGCCUACCAAGCCUACGACGGGUAGCUGGUCUGAGAGGACGAUCAGCCACGUUGGGACUGAGACACGGCCCAGACUCCUACGGGAGGCAGCAGUGGGGAAUAUUGGGCAAUGGGAGAAAUCCUGACCCAGCAACGCCGCGUGGAGGACGAAGGCCUUCGGGUUGUAAACUCCUGUCAGCAGGGAAAAAGGCUAUAAAAGCUAAUACCUUUUAUAGCUUGAUGGUACCUGCAGAGGAAGCACCGGCUAACUACGUGCCAGCAGCCGCGGUAAUACGUAGGGUGCAAGCGUUAUUCGGAAUCACUGGGCGUAAAGGGCG